rnacentral:rRNA from 1 species
GGAGUUAGCCGGUGCUUCUUCUGCGAGUAACGUCACAGAUGUAAGGUAUUAACUUACACCCUUUCCUCCUCGCUGAAAGUGCUUUACAACCCGAAGGCCUUCUUCACACACGCGGCAUGGCUGCAUCAGGGUUUCCCCCAUUGUGCAAUAUUCCCCACUGCUGCCUCCCGUAGGAGUCUGGGCCGUGUCUCAGUCCCAGUGUGGCUGAUCAUCCUCUCAGACCAGCUAGGGAUCGUCGCCUAGGUGAGCCUUUACCUCACCUACUAGCUAAUCCCACCUGGGCUUAUCCAUCAGCGCAAGGCCCGAAGGUCCCCUGCUUUCCCCCGUAGGGCGUAUGCGGUAUUAGCAGUCGUUUCCAACUGUUAUCCCCCACAAAUGGGCAAAUUCCCAGGCAUUACUCACCCGUCCGCCGCUCGUCAUCUUCAAAAGCAAGCUUUUGAAAUGUUACCGCUCGACUUGCAUGUGUUAGGCCUGCCGCCAGCGUUCAAUCUGAGCCAGUANACACACUNACAGAGCGGCG